CCCACCAUAGUUUAUUAAAACCUCGACCUGCAAAAUCGAAAAUGGAGAAUGUCCUGGUGUGU
rnacentral:tRNA from 1 species